rnacentral:rRNA from 1 species
CCAAUGGCGUAUAUUAAAGUUGUUGCAGUUAAAAAGCUCGUAGUUGAAUUUCGGGAUCAAUAUAUCGGUCGUGCCAUCGGUACGUACUGGUAUCAUUGGUUUCUCCUUUCUGACGAACCAUGAUGUCAUUAAUUUGGUGUUAUGGGAAGUUAGGACUGUUACUUUGAAAAAAUUAGAGUGUUUAAAGCAGGCUUUAGCUUGAAUACAUUAGCAUGGAAUAAUGAAAUAGGACGUUUGAUUCUAUUUUGUUGGUUUCUAGGAUCGACGUAAUGAUUAAUA